GACGAACGCUGGCGGCGUGCUUAACACAUGCAAGCCGAGCGAAUGGAUUAAGAGCUUGCUCUUAUGAAGUUAGCGGCGGACGGGUGAGUAACACGUGGGUACCUGCCCAUAAGACUGGGAUAACUCCGGGAAAACGGGGCUAACACCGGAUAACAUGUUGAACCGCAUGGUUCGAACUGGAAAGGCGGCUUCGGCUGUCACUUAUGGAUGGUCCCGCGUCGCAUUAGCUAGGGGGUGAGGUAACGGCUCACUAAGGCAACGAUGCGGAGCCGACCUGAGAGGGUGAUCGGCCACACUGGGACUGAGACACGGCACAGACUCCGACGGGAGGCAGCAGUAGGGAAUCUUCCGCAAUGGACGAAAGUCUGACGGAGCAACGCCGCGUGAGUGAUGAAGGCUUUCGGGUCGUAAAACUCUGUUGUUAGGGAAGAACAAGUGCUAGUUGAAUAAGCUGGCACCUUGACGGUACCUAACCAGAAAGCCACGGCUAACUACGUGCCAGCCGCCGCUGUAA
rnacentral:rRNA from 1 species